GCAUGUCUCAGCGCAAACGGAACAACAGUGGGUCUGUGAAUGGCUCCUUACAUCAGCAGUCAUCUGUGCGAUAGCGAGUGCUUGGCCGAGGUGCACGGCCCCAAUGGACAUCCACCAUAACUUUGUGGCUGAUACACGCAAGCAGAUGUCUGCCGCGUCAAGUGGAGUUAGCAGUGCUCUCUCCACUGCGGUGGACUGCAACCAGCCUAUGGAAGACCAGCGUCAGCAAAUGGCAGUGUUUACUGGGUGAAUCAGGCUGUUCCCAAGGACAUUGCUCUGGCAGAUAAGCCCUGCUUCGGCAGGCAUGCUUGAUCGCAUGAACUUCUGACCUAUCAGCUUUGACUGUGCUGUAGUGGACCACAGUGGCCUUGACGGGUAACGGAGAAUCAGGGUUCGAUUCCGGAGAGGGGGCCUGAGAGAUGGCCACCACUACCAAGGUGGGCAGCAGGCGCGCAAAUUGCCCAAUACAAAGCCAUCUUGUGAGGCAGCGACGAACUGCAGCAAACAUGCCUACUUGUGUAGGUUUGUCUUGGAAUGGAUGCUAUCCAAACACAGCCAUGAGCAACAAGUGGAGGGCAAGUCUGGUGCCAGCAGCUGCGGUAAUUCCAGCUCCAUUGGUGUAUACUAACAUUGCUGCUGUUAAAACGCUCGUAGUCUGCCACUGGGACUCAGGUCUGGCGGAUGGCUGGUUGGCCGUGUUCGCACGGUCAGCUGGACACAACCUCCGUCAGUAUGUUCCUGAUCCCAUCAACCAGGAUGCUGAAAUGCUCCUGCAUGAAGUCUUCUUCAGUGAAGGCCAACGCUGUUGUGCAUCCAACGCAUGCAAGGGGAUUUGCUAACUCAUGAUGGCCAGUUCCAUAUGCCCAGACCGGAGUACAGCAUCAGAGCAACCCUGGUAAACUCAGUGUGCUUCAAGCAACCUUGUAAUGGCGUGAAUGCCAUCCAGUGAAUUGCAGAGCAACGAUCGGACUUGGCUGUGUGUUGUGCUGGCCUUGGUGCCAAUUCUGAGCAAUCUGGGAUGCGUCGAUGACUGUGGCCAUUCGCCCGCGUUUGGUCACUGUUCACAAUGGCGUGUCUCCAACCGGACAUGAUGGAAGCGUUCCAGGUGGAGGAUACUGCAGUGCCAGAGGUGAAAUUCUUAGACCGCUGCAUGAUCAACAGCAGCGAAGGCACUCUGCAAGGGCAUGUUCGUCGAUCAAGAAUGAGAGCCUGGGGAGCAAAGAUGAUCAGACACCGUCGUAGUCCAGUGCAGUAAACCAUGCCGGCUCGGCUUUGGUGAAGACGUACCACACACUACAUCAGUGCCAUGCCCCCUUCAACGAGAAAUCCACAGCCUGUGGGUUCAGGGGGAAGUACUGUCGCAAGGCAGAAACUUAAAGGAAUUGACGGAAUGGCACCACAAGGCGUGGAAUAUGCGGCUUAAUUUGACUCAACACGGGGAAUGUUACCAGGUCAGGACACUGCCAGGAUGGACAGACUGAAAGCUCUUUCUUGAUCCAGUGGAUGGUGGUGCAUGGCCGCUCCUGAUCGGUGGAGUGAUUUGUCUGGUUGAUUCCGAUAACGGGUGAGAUAUCUGCCUUCCAAUAGCACCUGUCACGCAAUUGUAGGGAUACCUUCAGUGCUGACCUUCACCGGAAAGCCUGUCGGUGCCUGAGUGUUCAGGGCCAUUAUGCUUCUCUGAGGUGCUGUGUCUGUCACCAAAGUCACGCAUGCUAGAGCCAACAGCAGGUCUGUGAUGCUCCCAGAUGUCCUGGGCCGCACGCGCAUUACAUUGACACAGUGAAUGUGUUAUGCAUCCUUGUGAUGCCCAUCCCAGAAGUGGGUUGGAAACCAUCCGAGUCUGUGCUGUACUGGGGAUAGAUGAUUGCAACUAUCUGCCUUGAACGAGGAAUGCCUAGUAUGCUUGUGUCAUCAGCACAAACAGAUUGUGUCCCUGCCAUUUGUACACACCGCCCGUCGUUGCUACCGAUGAGGGCGAGGCAGAGUCAUCAGGAGAUAGCAGUACUUCAUUGGACUGCCAUUGAAAUUGGGCAAUGCCAUGCCCUUAGAGGAAGC
rnacentral:rRNA from 1 species